rnacentral:rRNA from 1 species
CUACGGAGGGUGCAAGCGUUAUCCGGAAUCAUUGGGUUUAAAGGGUCCGUAGGCGGGAAUCUAAGUCAGUGGUGAAAUCUUGCAGCUCAACUGUAAAAUUGCCAUUGAUACUGGAUUUCUUGAAUUAGUGUGAAGUGGUUAGAAUGUGUAGUGUAGCGGUGAAAUGCAUAGAUAUUACACAGAAUACCAAUUGCGAAGGCAGAUCACUAACACUAUAUUGACGCUAAGGGACGAAAGCGUGGGGAGCGAACAGGAUUAGAAACCCCAGUAGUCC